AUUCGGGGUUCCGGGGGGGUCACGCUCCGAUCCCGGACGAGCCCCCAAAUGAAAGAGCAUACCCCAAAACGGGGAGCCGCGUCUCUCACUCCGAUCGCGGGGUGGGGUGCCCCCAGGAAUCACGAGUAGCCAU
rnacentral:pre_miRNA from 14 species